rnacentral:rRNA from 1 species
GAUGAACGCUAGCUACAGGCUUAACACAUGCAAGUCGAGGGGCAGCGCAGUGUAGCAAUACAUGGGCGGCGACCGGCGCACGGGUGCGUAACGCGUAUCCAACCUUCCCGUUACUCAGGGAUAGCCUUCCGAAAGGGAGAUUAAUACCUGAUGGUGUUCAAAUUCCGCAUGUUAUUUGAACUAAAGAUUUAUCGGUAACGGAUGGGGAUGCGUGACAUUAGGUAGAUGGCGGGGUAACGGCCCACCAUGCCUACGAUGUCUAGGGGUUCUGAGAGGAAGGUCCCCCACACUGGAACUGAGACACGGUCCAGACUCCUACGGGAGGCAGCAGUGAGGAAUAUUGGUCAAUGGUCGGAAGACUGAACCAGCCAAGUAGCGUGAAGGAUGAAGGUUCUAUGGAUUGUAAACUUCUUUUAUACGGGAAUAAAACCACCUACGUGUAGGUGCUUGUAUGUACCGUAUGAAUAAGCAUCGGCUAACUCCGUGCCAGCAGCCGCGGU